rnacentral:lncRNA from 1 species
CCACUUUAUAAUCCUUCUCAGGGGCAGCCGUGUCCUCACAGGUCUCAGAAAACUCUCCUUCCUUCAUACUCUCACCCGUAUACCACUGAACAAAAGCACGCUUGGCAUACAUCAGGUCAAACUUGUGGUCCAGACAAGAUCAGACCUCAGCAAUGGCUCUGGUGUUGCUCAGCGUGCACACAGCUCUCUGUACUUUGGCCAGGUCUCCACCAGGUACCACAGGCUGGUAAUUAAUGCCAACUUGGAAGCCAGUGCUGCACGAGCCCACAAACUGGAUGGAAUGCUUGGUCUUGAUGGUGGCAAUGGCAACAUUGACACCUUUGGGAACACAUUGCCACGGUACAACAGGCAGAAAGCCAUGUAGUUACCAUGCCAAAGGGCACAUUUCACCUGGUUGGCUGGUUUGAAGCAUGCAUUGUUGAUCUCUGCUACAGAAAACUGUUCAUUGUAGGCUUUCUCAGCAGAGAUGACAGGAGUAUUUGUGGGUAGGGGAAGUGGAUGUGAGGAUAGGGCACCAGGUUGGUCUGGAAUGUUGUCAGAUCAACAUUCAGGGCUCCAUCUAAUCUGAGGGAAGCAGUGAUGGAAACACACUCUGGCUAAUAAGGCAAUGAAGUUAGUGUAGGUUGGGUGUUCAAUAUUGCACUUUCUAUGGCAGAUGUCAUACAUGGCCUCAUUGUCUACCAUGAAGGCACAAUCAGAGUGCUCCAGGGUGGUAUGAGUAGUGAGAAUGGAGUUAUAGGGCUCAACUACAGCUAUGGAAAAUUCAGGGGCUGGGUAAAUGGAGAAAUCCAGCUUGAAUUUCUUUCCAUAAUUGACAAACAGAUGUUCCAUUAUCAGGGAGAUGAA